AUUGAACGCUAGCGGGAUGCCUUACACAUGCAAGUCGAACGGAGUGGCGAACGGGUGAGUACUGUCUCGGAACGUGCCCAGUAGCGGGGGAUAACUACGCGAAAGCGUAGCUAAUACCGCAUACUUUUGGGGCGCCCGCUAUCGGAUUAGCUAGUGGGUGGGGUAACGGCUCACCAAGGCGACGAUCCGUAGCUGGUUUGAGAGGACGACCAGCCACACUGGGACUGAGACACGGCCCAGACUCCUACGGGAGGCAGCAGUGGGGAAUUUUGGACAAUGGGGGAAACCCUGAUCCAGCCAUCCCGCGUGUGCGAUGAAGGCCUUCGGGUUGUAAAGCACUUUUGGCAGGAAAGCGGUACCUGCAGAAUAAGCACCGGCUAACUACGUGCCAGCAGCCGCGGUAAUAC
rnacentral:rRNA from 1 species